AUUGAACGCUGGCGGAAUGCUUUACACAUGCAAGUCGAGCGGCAGCGCGGCCUUCGGGCUGGCGGCGAGCGGCGAACGGGUGAGUAAUGCAUCGGAACAUGCCCAGUCGUGGGGGAUAACACUUCGAAAGAAGUGCUAAUACCGCAUACGUCCUGAGGGGGAAAGCGGGGGAUCGCAAGACCUCGCGCGAUUGGAGUGGCCGAUGUCAGAUUAGCUAGUUGGUGGGGUAAAGGCCUACCAAGGCGACGAUCUGUAGCUGGUCUGAGAGGAUGAUCAGCCACACUGGGACUGAGACACGGCCCAGACUCCUACGGGAGGCAGCAGUGGGGAAUUUUGGACAAUGGGGGCAACCCUGAUCCAGCCAUUCCGCGUGAGUGAAGAAGGCCUUCGGGUUGUAAAGCUCUUUCGGCAGGAACGAAACGGUGGGCUCUAACAUAGCCCGCUAAUGACGGUACCUGAAGAAGAAGCACCGGCUAACUACGUG
rnacentral:rRNA from 1 species